rnacentral:misc_RNA from 1 species
UAAAAAAUUAAAAAGAAAAAAAAAAUUCUCAGCCGUCUUCUUACAAUUCCUUUGUCCACCCAUGUCCCUGGUGGAGUCGUGGGUGUUUCACUCUCAGGCCUUGACGCCCAGGGUCAAAAUGGUAAAAAUAUAUUCUCAGUGAUCCCAAAAUCGAAAUUUGGCCUCUUUUCUUUUCUCUGCUUCUUCUCUGUUCUUCUCCUUCCGUCGAUCCAUCCUCUUAGUUCGAUUUUCUCAGAUUAAGCAACAUUGGUUGAUG